GAAGAACAUGCCAUAUUGACC
rnacentral:miRNA from 1 species